CCUGGAAACAGAUGCUAAUACCGGAUAACAACAGAUGAUGCCUAUCAACUGUUUAAAAGAUGGUUCUGCUAUCACUCUUGGAUGGACCUGCGGUGCAUUAGCUAGUUGGUAGGGUAACGGCCUACCAAGGCGAUGAUGCAUAGCCGAGUUGAGAGACUGAUCGGCCACAUUGGGACUGAGACNCGGCCCAAACUCCUACGGGAGGCAGCAGGG
rnacentral:rRNA from 1 species